AACCUACCUUUUACAGAGGAAUAGCCUUUAGAAAUGAAGAUUAAUGCCUCAUAGUAUUGUAGACUGGCAUCAGUUUAUAAUUAAAGAUUUAUCGGUAAAAGAUGGCUAUGCGUCCUAUUAGUUAGUUGGUAAGGUAACGGCUUACCAAGACAGCGAUAGGUAGGGGUCCUGAGAGGGAGAUCCCCCACACUGGUACUGAGACACGGACCAGACUCCUACGGGAGGCAGCAGUGAGGAAUAUUGGACAAUGGAGGAGACUCUGAUCCAGCCAUGCCGCGUGUAGGAAGAAUGCCCUAUGGGUUGUAAACUACUUUUAUACAGGAAGAAACACUGGUAUGUAUACCAGCUUGACGGUACUGUAAGAAUAAGGACCGGCUAACUCCGUGCCAGCAGCCGCGGUAAUACGGAGGGUCCGAGCGUUAUCCGGAAUCAUUGGGUUUAAAGGGUCCGCAGGCGGUCGAUUAAGUCAGAGGUGAAAUCCCAUAGCUCAACUAUGGAACUGCCUUUGAUACUG
rnacentral:rRNA from 1 species